UACGUAGGGGGCAAGCGUUGUCCGGAUUUAUUGGGCGUAAAGCGCUCGCAGGUGGUCCGCUGCGUCGUGCGUGAAAGACCCCGGCUCAACUGGGGGAUGUCGUGCGAUACGGGCGGACUGGAGGCCAGUAGGGGGAUGCGGAAUUCCGGGUGUAGUGGUGGAAUGCGUAGAGAUCCGGAGGAACACCAGCGGCGAAGGCGGCAUCCUGGACUGGUCCUGACGCUCAUGUGCGAAAGCGUGGGGAGCAAACAGG
rnacentral:rRNA from 1 species